ACCUCAGCCUUCUGUCCCUGACCACGUCUGUGCCUCUGACGCUGUAAUGAUUCUCCAUGUUGAGUUUUACCUGCUGACUCGUGUCUCCAGGAGCUCUGAGGUGGAUGGAGGUGAACUCUGAGGUGACGUGGGUCGUCUGCUCUCAGUCCACGUCCUGAAGACAUCCUUCUCCUCUUUGAUGCCAUACAAGAAGAGUUGAAAUCAGAUUAUGAACCAAAAUACAGAGAACAAAGAAAA